rnacentral:lncRNA from 10 species
GUGCGAGCUGAGUUGCAUACGCAGAGCGAGCUGAGUUGCAUACGCAGUGCGACUUGAGUUGCAUACGCAGAGCGAGCUGGGUUGCAUACGCAGAGCGAGCUCAGUUGCAUACGCAGAGCGAGCUGAGUUGCAUAGGCAGUGAGUGGAUUCGCAUACGCAGUGCGAGUUGAGUUGCAUACGCAGUGCGAGUUGAGUUGCAUACGCAGUGCGAGUUGAUUUGCAUACACGGUGUGAGUUGAGUUGCAUAUACGGUGUGAGUUGAGUUGCAUAUGCAGUGAGUUGAUGUGCAUAUGCAGUGAGUUGAUUUGUAUAUGCAGUGCAUGUUUCCAGCAAGUUGUUUACCAUCUUUAGGAAUGAUCUAGCCUGAGAGGGACGGUCUAGCCCCCACAGCAAGACCCCAGGAUGAAAAUGUACCCUAACAAAAAAAAAAAAAACAUAAUUAAUACAAUUGGUCCUUUAAUAUUUUAUCUUACUCUGAGGAACCCUCAGACAUUGGGAGUGGAGAUUUUCACACAGGAGGGCAUAAGUUGCCCUAAGUGACACAGAACACGUUCUGAGAGUUAGGAAGAGAAAUACAGGUAUCUGCCUAACCAGUACUUGCAGUCCUGCCCAUAACCCAGUUUUCCAUCAUGCUUGGUGUCUUAGUCUGUCUGUGUUGCUACAUAUCUGAGGCUGUGGGUAACUUAGAAAGAGGCUUAUUUGGCUCAUGGUUCAGCAGGCUGUGCAAGCAUAGCACUGGCAUCUGACCUGCUUCUGGUGAGGACUAUUUGCUGUGUCAAACAGGGCAGAGAAGGUCAAGGGCAGUGAGCCAAACCCGAGGGACGGCUUGGCUUUAUCACAACCAUGCUCCCAGUAACUAGUGCAUUCCCCUACAAACCAAUCCAGGCUUGACACAGCAAGAAUGAAUGGUAUCCAACCAUUCAGGAGGGUGCCCCCAUGACCCAAACCCCCACCAGGCCCCCUCCCAGCACUGCCACACUGAGGGUCAAAGCUCAACAUGAGACUUGAUGAGGGCAAACCAAUCACAUCCACAUCACAGCAUAUGGUAUUACUCAAGAAAAUCACUUUGAAAUGUUGGGGGUCCAAUGAUAAUAUCCUUGAGGAGUUAUAAAGGUGAUAAAGGGAUGAGUUUGACAAUUAUCAGGAUGGCAGGUCUGUAGUUCUGCUGCAGGAGGGUAUGAAGCAAACAGUUAGUAUGUGUAAAGAAGAGGCUCUGUGUGAAGCCAAGUCAAGGGAGUAAGGAGAUGAGAUGGAAAGCUGCAGCGGAGGAGAAGGCACUGGGGAGACAGUGGCCUUCCCAGAGGCUGAUAGGAGGCGGGCACCUCCUGGUGAAACAAAACAUUUUGGUAUCAAUUAUUGAGACUUCACAGACACUACUAACUCCUACCAGAUUUUCCUACAGGCAAGGGGUGCAGGGCUGUGGGUUUUGGUUGAGAUUACACCAGGAUCACGGGUUAGCGGACAGCAAGCUCAGCUCAUCACAGAAUCUCAAAUAUCAAAUUUGUGCCUUAGGAACCCCAGUCCAUGGGCAUCGCUGCUGAGGAGGUUCUGAAGAAGUGCGUGAAGUCACCUCCAGUGAAGGGAGGGGGAGUCGUCGGAGGGGUAGUCGUCUUAAUUGAGGUCUGUGCUGGGGUGAUGUCUCCACCAACAGUGGGCAUAUCAGGCAGGGUGGUGUCUGGGCUACCGCCUGCUCAGGAUGCUGUCACUAGGAGUCCGAGCACCAGGAUGAUGCAGUCCUGGCGUCACCUGUGACCCACAAGUUCUGGACUCAGGCAACUGUGAGUCAGUUCUAGCAGAGACCUGCAGGACUUAUUUCAGCCAAUCAGGAUGUCACCUGAGACCAGUCCAGGAGCCGCUACAACCCCACAAGCUGGUUCCCGCUAAUCUGAUGACCUUUAGUGUCAAUGCCAACAAUUAAAGGUGGCAACAGAUGAGCUAAAUAGCCACACUCAAUCCCACAAGAGAAACAUGGCACAACCCACUCCUCUCCACAACAAACACGUAACAUGAAGGUGCAUGGCUCUGUCCAUCCAGAAUUUCAAACACGUGACAUGAAGGUGCACAGGUCUGUCCAUCCAGGAUUUCAAACAUGUGACAGGAAGGUGCACGGGUCUGUCCAUCCAGAAUUUUAAACACGUAACAUGAAGGUGCAUGGGUCUGUCCAUCCAGAAUUUCAAACACGUGACAUGAAGGUGGACGGGUCUGUCCAUCCAGGAUUUCAAACACGUAAUAUGAAGGUGCACGGGUCUGUCCAUCCAGGAUUUAUUGUUCACCUCGUUGUAGAUUACCUUUAUACCGUGGGGAUUCAACACCACAGAAACAGUCACCAAGCAGCUGCUGCCCUGAUGGCCACAAAAAACAUAACCCAGGAUUGCUGCAGCCAGAGGACACACAUUCGUGUCACUCACAUGAAGUCUUGCUCUGCCACUGUGUGUGUUUAAGGGCCUCAUCCAAGAAGCGCCAGUGACAGGGCCAAGCGCCACAGAACAUCAGGACCAGCCGUGUCCCUGGUCUGUUUUCAUGGUACACAAAGGAGCAGCACACACACAAGCAGCAGCUGCCCCAGGAGUGCCGGGUCGCAGCAGCUGCCCCAUGAAUGCCGGAUCACAGCAGCUGCCUCAUCAGUGCCGGAUCGCAGCAGCUGCCCCAGGAGUGCCAGAUUGCAGCAGCUGCCAGGACCGCUCUGCAUGCUGUGAAGAGGAUCUGGAGGUCAACAAGGACACUCAGGGCUCUCACCCGUCCGGCACUGCCUAAGGUACAGGAAUUCCCUCCUCCCCACGUGGGGGGUGGUGGUUCUCCCUCCACGGCCAUGAAACGGGGGCAUCUCAGGGUACAGACCUCGCCCCUCUCCACUCUGCCCCUCCUUGCACCCUGGUGUUUUAUCUGAAGGGAUCAGGUAUGGGAGAGGAACAAGGGCAUUUUCAUAAAAUGUAGAGCUGUGUUAUGCCCCAACAUUGGCCAGUGUGGGACCCUACAGGUGGGUCAUGCCUAAGAGCAUGACUAACCAACCAGAGCCUACGCUGCUCAUACAGGAUCCCAUCUGGAUACUUAAGACUAACCAACCAGAGCCUACACUGCUCACACAGGAUCACAUCUGGAUCCUCAAGACUAACCAACCAGAGCCUACACUGCUCACAGAAUCACAUCUGGAUCCUCAACACUAACCAACCAGAGCCUACGCUGCUCACACAGGAUCACAUCUGGAUCCUCAAGACUAACCAACCAGAGCCUACGCUGCUCACACAGGAUCACAUCUGGAUCCUCAAGACUAACCAACCAGAGCCUACGCUGCUCACACAGAAUCACAUCUGCAUCCUCAAGACUAACCAACCAGAGCCUACACUGCUCACAGAAUCACAUCUGGAUCCUCAAGACUAACCAACCAGAGCCUACAGUGCUCACACAAGAUCACAUCUGGAUCCUGAAGACUAACCAACCAGAGCUUACACUGCUCACAGAAUCACAUCUGGAUCCUCAAGACUAACCAACCAGAGCCUACGCUGCUCAAAGAAUCACAUCUGGAUCCUCAAGACUAACCAACCAGAGCCUACACUGCUCACACAGGAUCACAUCUGAGUCCUCAAGGCCUACUGUUAGCCAGGCUGCGACGUGGACACUGUAGCAACCAGACUGGAGGAUUUCUACAGGGAACAGAGUCCUCACUCCAAGAAUGAUCAGUGCAGCAUCAUAAAGAUUCAAAAUACGUCUACAGAACCCCCAGAAAGACAUGUCUCAAGUUAGCCCACAAGGUUUUAGAACACAGGGAAGCGACUGCUAUCUUCCAUACAUUCACAACACUUCAAGUGUCAAUCACCACGUUUACUAAAGGGUGAGGAAAGAUGUAAUGUAAAAAAUGACUUCCCAACAAUUCUCACCCUCCUAAGGUUUUUCUUCAUUGUGAGAUCACAAGGGAUCAUCAAAGUACUGAGCAGAACAGCAACAAUGCUGCUGCAUAUCACACAUCAAUAGAGUUCUCUCUACUGGAUACCAUCCAUAUUCAGCAAGACCUUAGAGAACACUGAGGGCUUUCUCUGUGUCUGCUGCAUAGGGCUCCAGGGUGAGUUCCUGCCUGCCGGGUUGUGAUGAGAUGCUGAUUGCCUAGCCACAUUCCUCAAGUCAUGGACAUCUGGAGAACGAGAGGUCUUUCAUGUCUUCAACGUGAAUGAGUGUAGCUGACAGCUUCCCCACAUUCUUUACAUUAGAAAGGUUUCUCAUCAGUGUGAAUUUGAGUGUGAUGGUUAAGGCAUGAGGAAUUCUUAAAAGAUUUUCCACAGUCCUUACAUACAAAAACCUGCUCUUCAGUGUAAGUUUUUAAAUGUUCUUUUAGUAGAUAAAACCUAUUGUAUGCUUUCCCACAUUCCUUACAUUUAUAGGGUUUCUGCCCAGUGUGAAUUCUUCCAUGUUUAUGCAGGUGAGAGGAGGCACGGAAGGCUUUCCCACACUCGUUACAUAUGUAAGGUUUCUCUCCUGUGUGAGUCCUUCUGUGUUCGAUAAGGUGUGAGGAGGAAGCAAAGGCUUUCCCACACUCCUUACAUAUGUAGGGUUUCUCACCGGUGUGGGUUCUUAUGUGCACGAUAAGGUGUGAGGAUGUGGUGAAGGCCUUUCCGCAUACUUUACAUUCAUAAGGUUUCUCUCCAGUGUGAGUUCGUAUGUGCUCGGUUAGGCUCGAAGAAACAGUGAAUGUUUUCCCACAGUCCUUACAUUCAUAAGGUUUUAUUCCAGUGUGAAUCUGAAUGUGCUUAUUCAGGCACGAGGAAUUUCUGAAGGAUUUCCUGCAUACCGUACAUAUAAAGGGCUUCUCCUCUGUGUGAGUUUUCACAUGCUCAUUCAGUAGAUAAACCCUAUUGUAGGCUUUCCCACAGUCCUUACAUUCAUAGGGCUUCUCCCCGGUGUGUGUCCGCAUGUGUUUAGUGAGGCCUGAGCGCCCUGUGAAGGCUUUGCCACACUGCUUACAUUCGUAGGGUUUCUCUCCGGUAUGGAUUCUCGCGUGCUCAGUCAGGCUUGAAGAAACAGUGAAGGAUUUCCCACAAUCUUUACAUUCAUAUGGUUUCUCUCCAGUGUGAGUCCUUACAUGCUCAGUAAGGCCCGAGGAUGUACAGAAGGCUUUCCCGCAGUCCUUACACGUGUAUGGCUUCUCGCCCGUGUGUGUUCGUACGUGUCUAGUAAGGCCACAGCGCACAGUGAAGGCCUUCCCACAGUAGCUGCAUGUAUAGGGUUUUAUUCCAGUGUGAAUUCGAACAUGAUUAUUAAGGCAUGAGGAAUUUCUAAAAUAUUUUCCGCAAACCACACAUGCAAAGGGCUUCUCCCUCGUGUGAGUUUUUCCAUGCUCAUUCAGUAGAUAAAACCCACCGCAGGCUUUCCCACAGUCCUUACAUUCAUAGGGCUUCUGUCCAGGGUCUGUUUGGACGUGUUUAGAAAGACCUGAGAGUCCAGUGAAGGCUUUUCCGCAUUCUUUACAUUCACAGGGUUUCUCUGCAGCAUGAAUUCUUACAUGUUGAGUUAGGCUGGAAGAAACAGGGGAGGCUUUUCCACAUUCUUCCAAUUCACAGGGCUUUUCCCCAGGGUGGACUUGCACGCGACCAGUAAGGUAGGCAGUGUACCUAAAGGCCUUCCCACAUUCCCUACAUACGUGGGGAUUCCUGACGGCAUGCAUUUCAACAGGUGUGGCGCAGCCCAUGGAGUGAGUUAGAGCUUUCCCACACGGCUUCCAUUUCCAUGUUUCUUCUCCGUUGUGACUUCCCGCACGUGCCUGAAGGUAUGACUGAUUAAGGAACACUUCCCCACAGCUGCUGUAGUCAAGAGAUCUGUCCCGAGUGCAUGCUUGCUGGGAAACAACAUUUGGAGUAGAGCUGAAGGCUUUUCCACACUGACCCAACACGGAAAACUGCUCUCCAAUUUUGAACAAGGUUUUCUGGCAUGGAAUAAAAAAGUCCCUUUCAUAAUGAUUAGACACACAACUGUCUCCUGUAUUUUGAGUUCUCACGUGUGUGCUGAGGCCUGAGUGUUCACUGAAAGCUUCUCCACACUGCGUGCGGUCACAGAGCUGCCCUCCAUUGUGGCUUCUUG